rnacentral:lncRNA from 1 species
UUCGGACCCGACUUGCAAUGGGCUGGCCAACUUCCUUAUGCAAUAUACCCUUCCCAAUAGGGAGCUAUCCUCGACAAGAUCCGAGGAUGCCUGAGAGCCAUUCUCGACAAGAUCAGAGGAUGUAGAAGAGCUAUCUUGAGAAGAUUCGAGGACUCUAAAGAAUUCUCAUAAUGAAUUUUGCAUAUUGAUAGAGCCUUGAAUAUACAAGGAUGCGGCACCAAACUCAUUCUUGCUAGUCCGAAUGG